rnacentral:rRNA from 1 species
AUCAUGGCUCAGGAUGAACGCUGGCGGCGUGCCUAAUACAUUGCAAGUCGAGCGAACAGACGAGGAGCUUGCUCCUUUGACGUUAGCGGCGGACGGGUGAGUAACACGUAGGUAACCUACCUAUAAGACUGGGAUAACUUCGGGAAACCGGAGCUAAUACCGGAUAAUAUUUCGAACCGCAUGGUUCGAUAGUGAAAGAUGGCUUUGCUAUCACUUAUAGAUGGACCUGCGCCGUAUUAGCUAGUUGGUAAGGUAACGGCUUACCAAGGCAACGAUACGUAGCCGACCUGAGAGGGUGAUCGGCCACACUGGAACUGAGACACGGUCCAGACUCCUACGGGAGGCAGCAGUAGGGAAUCUUCCGCAAUGGGCGAAAGCCUGACGGAGCAACGCCGCGUGAGUGAUGAAGGUCUUCGGAUCGUAAAACUCUGUUAUUAGGGAAGAACAAACGUGUAAGUAACUGUGCACGUCUUGACGGUACCUAAUCAGAAAGCCACGGCUAACUACGUGCCAGCAGCCGCGGUAAUACGUAGGUGGCAAGCGUUAUCCGGAAUUAUUGGGCGUAAAGCGCGCGUAGGCGGUUUUUUAAGUCUGAUGUGAAAGCCCACGGCUCAACCGUGGAGGGUCAUUGGAAACUGGAAAACUUGAGUGCAGAAGAGGAAAGUGGAAUUCCAUGUGUAGCGGUGAAAUGCGCAGAGAUAUGGAGGAACACCAGUGGCGAAGGCGACUUUCUGGUCUGUAACUGACGCUGAUGUGCGAAAGCGUGGGGAUCAAACAGGAUUAGAUACCCUGGUAGUCCACGCCGUAAACGAUGAGUGCUAAGUGUUAGGGGGUUUCCGCCCCUUAGUGCUGCAGCUAACGCAUUAAGCACUCCGCCUGGGGGAGUACGACCGCAAGGUG